AGGUUGGCUCAGAAGCAGCCAUCCUUUAAAGAGUGCGUAACAGCUCACUAGUCGAAUGACUCUGCGCCGAUAAUUUACCGGGGCUAAGCAUACUACCGAAGCUAUGGAUCCCAAGGGAUGGUAGGGGAGCGUUCCAUGAACGGAGAAGCGCGAUCGAGAGGACGCGUGGAGAUCAUGGAAGAGAGAAUGCCGGUGUGAGUAGCGGAACGUGGGUGAGAAUCCCACGCACCGAAAACCCAAGGUUUCCAGAGGAAGGUUCGUCCGCUCUGGGUAAGUCGGGACCUAAGGCGAGGCCGAGAGGCGUAGUCGAUGGACAACAGGUAGAGAUUCCUGUACUCAUAUAUAUGUGAAGGAAUGACGGAGAGAGGAAGCUGCAGCCAGCGGCUGGAAGAGCUGGUGCAAGCGAGAUAUCGGGAUGGCAGGCAAAUCCACCAUCCGAAACGAGAAGGCGUGAAGCGUACGGAAAGCUAAGGCGAGUACGGAAGGCAGUGGAGGAGCUUCCAAGAAAAGUUUCUAACGAAAGUAUAUGUGACCCGUACCGAAAAUGGACACACAUGGGUGAGGAGAGAAUCCUAAGGUGAGCGAGAGAACUAUAGCUAAGGAACUCUGCAAAAUGACUCCGUAACUUAGGGAGAAGGAGUGCUCAUAGAGAUAUGAGCCGCAGUGAAACGGCCCAAGCGACUGUUUACCAAAAACACAGCUCUCUGCUAAGCCGCAAGGCGAAGUAUAGGGGGUGACGCCUGCCCGGUGCUGGAAGGUUAAGGGGAGGGGUUAACGCAAGUGAAGCCCUGAACUGAAGCCCCAGUAAACGGCGGCCGUAACUAUAACGGUCCUAAGGUAGCGAAAUUCCUUGUCAGGUAAGUUCUGACCCGCACGAAAGGCGUAACGAUUUGGGCGCUGUCUCAGCUGUAGACUCGGUGAAGUCUUAGUACCUGUGAAGAUGCAGGUUACCCGCGACUAGACGGAAAGACCCCAUGGAGCUUCACUGCAGGUUGAUAUUGGGAUUUGAUGCAGCAUGUACAGGAUAGGUAGGAGGCAAAGAGAUGGAUACGCCAGUAUUCAAGGAGCCGCUGUUGGGAUACUACCCCUGUUGUAUUGGAUUUCUAACCGGACGACGUAAAGCCGUUGACGGGACAGUGUCAGUCGGGCAGUUUGACUGGGGCGGUCGCCUCCCAAAGAGUAACGGAGGCGCCCAAAGAUACCCUCAGCUUGGAUGGAAACCAAGCGCAGAGUGCAAAGGCAAAAGGGUGUUUGACUGCGAGACCAACAAGUCGAGCAGGGACGAAAGUCGGGCUUAGUGAUCCGGCGGUGCUGAAUGGAAAGGCCGUCGCUCAACGGAUAAAAGCUACCCUGGGGAUAACAGGCUGAUCUCCCCCAAGAGUUCACAUCGACGGGGAGGUUUGGCACCUCGAUGUCGGCUCAUCGCAUCCUGGAGCUGAAGUCGGUUCCAAGGGUUGGGCUGUUCGCCCAUUAAAGCGGUACGCGAGCUGGGUUCAGAACGUCGUGAGACAGUUCGGUCCCUAUCUGUCGUGGGCGCAGGAAAUUUGAGAAGAGCUGUCCUCAGUACGAGAGGACCGGGAUGGACGCAUCAAUGGUGGACCAGUUGUCACGCCAGUGGCAUAGCUGGGUAGCUAAAUGCGGAAGGGAUAAACGCUGAAGGCAUCUAAGUGUGAAACCCACUUCAAGAUGAGAUUUCCCAUUGCGCAAGCAAGUAAGACCCCUUAAAGACGAUAAGGUAGAUAGGUCAGGAGUGUAAGCAUGGUGACAUGUUAAGCGGACUGAUACUAAUAGGUCGAGGGCUUGACCGA
rnacentral:rRNA from 1 species